rnacentral:pre_miRNA from 1 species
AGGGGAAUAGCUGGGUCAAAUGGUAGUUCCAUUCCGAGUUUUGCAAGGAAUCUCUAUACUGCUUUCCAAAUUGGCUGGACCAAUUUGCAGUCCCAUCAGCAAU